rnacentral:rRNA from 1 species
AGAGUUUGAUCCUGGCUCAGGACGAACGCUGGCGGCGUGCCUAAUACAUGCAAGUCGAGCGCAGGAAAUCGACGGAACCCUUCGGGGGGAAGUCGACGGAAUGGGUGAGUAACACGUAAAGAACCUGCCCUCAGGUCUGGGAUAACCACGAGAAAUCGGGGCUAAUACCGGAUGGGUCAUCGGACCGCAUGGUCCGAGGAUGAAAGGCGCUUCGGCGUCGCCUGGGGAUGGCUUUGCGGUGCAUUAGCUAGUUGGUGGGGUAAUGGCCUACCAAGGCGACGAUGGGUAGCCGGCCUGAGAGGGUGAUCGGCCACACUGGAACUGAGACACGGUCCAGACUCCUACGGGAGGCAGCAGUGGGGAAUCUUCCGCAAUGGGCGAAAGCCUGACGGAGCAACGCCGCGUGAGCGAAGAAGGUCUUCGGAUUGUAAAGCUCUGUGAUAUUGGACGAAAGAAGUGCCGCAGGCAAUGGCGGCACCUUGACGGUACAAUAAGAGGAAGCCACGGCUAACUACGUGCCAGCAGCCGCGGUAAUACGUAGGUGGCAAGCGUUAUCCGGAAUUAUUGGGCGUAAAGGGAGCGUAGGCGGUUUGAUAAGUCUGAGGUGAAAGUUCGGGGCUCAACUCCGGAUUGCCUUAGAAACUGUCAGACUAGAGUGCAGGAGAGGGCAAUGGAAUUCCAUGUGUAGCGGUAAAAUGCGUAGAUAUAUGGAGGAACACCAGUGGCGAAGGCGACUUCCUGGCUUGUAACUGACACUGAGGCGCGAAAGCGUGGGGAUCAAACAGGAUUAGAUACCCUGGUAGUCCACGCCGUAAACGAUGAGUGCUAGGUGUCGGGGGUAUCGACCCCCUCGGUGCCACAGCUAACGCAAUAAGCACUCCGCCUGGGGAGUACGGUCGCAAGACUGAAACUCAAAGGAAUUGACGGGGGCCCGCACAAGCGGUGGAGUAUGUGGUUUAAUUCGAAGCAACGCGAAGAACCUUACCAAGUCUUGACAUCCCCCUGACCGGUACAUAACGUGUUCUUAGUUUACUAAGACACAGAGACAGGUGGUGCAUGGUUGUCGUCAGCUCGUGUCGUGAGAUGUUGGGUUAAGUCCCGCAACGAGCGCAACCCCUACAGCUAGUUGCCAGCACAUAAUGGUGGGAACUCUAGCAGAACUGCCGUUGACAAAACGGAGGAAGGUGGGGAUGACGUCAAAUCAUCAUGCCCCUUAUGUCCUGGGCUACACACGUGCUACAAUGGCCGGUACAACGGGCAGCGAAAGAGCGAUCUGGAGCGAAUCCUAAAAAGCCGAUCCCAGUUCGGAUUGGAGUCUGCAACUCGACUCCAUGAAGUUGGAAUCGCUAGUAAUCGCGGAUCAGCAUGCCGCGGUGAAUACGUUCCCGGGCCUUGUACACACCGCCCGUCACACCACGAAAGUCUGCAACACCCGAAGCCGGUGAGGUAACCCGUAAGGGAGCUAGCCGUCGAAGGUGGGGCCGAUAAUUGGGGUGAAGUCGUAACAAGGUAACCC